GAUGAACGCUGGCGGCGUGCCUAAUACAUGCAAGUCGAGCGAACAGAUGAGGAGCUUGCUCCUCUGACGUUAGCGGCGGACGGGUGAGUAACACGUGGUUAACCUACCUAUAAGACUGGGAUAACUUCGGGAAACAGGAGCUAAUACCGGAUAAUAUAUUGAACCGCAUGGUUCAAUAGUGAAAGACGGUAUUGCUGUCACUUAUAGAUGGAUCCGCGCCGCAUUAGCUAGUUGGUAAGGUAAAGGCUUACCAAGGCAACGAUGCGUAGCCGACCUGAGAGGGUGAUCGGCCACACUGGAACUGAGACACGGUCCAGACUCCUACGGGAGGCAGCAGUAGGGAAUCUUCCGCAAUGGGCGAAAGCCUGACGGAGCAACGCCGCGUGAGUGAUGAAGGUCUUCGGAUCGUAAAACUCUGUUAUUAGGGAAGAACAAAUGUGUAAGUAACUAUGCACGUCUUGACGGUACCUAAUCAGAAAGCCACGGCUAACUACGUG
rnacentral:rRNA from 1 species